rnacentral:lncRNA from 1 species
CGCAAAAUAUCAUCCAACAACCCAUUCGAAAUUCGAUUUCGAAUUUCGAAUUCCCAACUAAUUCCCAAAACAUCUUCCAACAACUCAUUCAAAAUUCGAUUUCGAAUUUCGAAUUCCCUAACCAAUUCCCAAAACAUCAUCCAACAAUCCAUUCGAAAUUCGAUUUUAAAUUCCCAACCAACUCCAAAAUAUCCUCCAAUAAUCCAUUCAAAAUUCGAAUUUCGAAUUUCGAACCUCCAACCAACUCCCAAAAUAUCUUCCAACUAUCCAACAACUCAUUCAAAAUUCAAUUCCCAACCACUCUCCAAAUAUCCUCCAACCAUCCAACAAAUAAUUCAAAAUUCGAAUUUUGAAUUUCGAAUUUCGAAUUUCGAAUUCUGGAGAAUUUUUUUUUACGGAGACGAUACGAUAGACAAAGAACAAAAAAAGAUAGAUAGAUUGCUACACUCGUUCCGACAUUAAAAAAAAAAAAGAAAAAGGAGAUAUCGCCGAGCCGCGGAAAGGAGGAGGAUCGCCGAGCCACGGAAAGGAGGAGAAAUCGCCGAGCCGCAGAAAGGAGGAGAAAUCGCCGAGCCGCGAAAGGAUGAGAGAUCGCCGAGCCGCGGAAAGAUGGAGGAAUCGUCGAGCUGAUUCAUCAAAUCCGUCAUUUGAUCAACAGG